GGUCUGAGGUGGAAGUGUGGCGACACAUGGAGCUGACAGAUACUAAUCGAUCGAGGGCUUAACCAU
rnacentral:rRNA from 1 species